UAUGUAUAAGAUAAUAAAAUCUGUAAAUUUUAGGAAUUUAAAAUAUUUACAUUGUAAAUUACAUAUA
rnacentral:tRNA from 1 species